AAUCAACGCUGGCGGCGUGCCUAACACAUGCAAGUCGGACGAGAAAGUGGGGGCAACCCUGCGAGUACAGUGGCAGACGGGUGAGUAACACGUGAACGACCUACCCUUGAGUGGGGAAUAACACCGCGAAAGCGGUGCUAAUACCGCAUAAAAUCUUUAAGCUGCAUGGUUUAGAGAUCAAAGGCGCCAGUUGCUUGAGGAGGGGUUCGCGGCUGAUUAGCUAGUUGGUGAGGUAACGGCCCACCAAGGCAACGAUCAGUAGCCGGCCUGAGAGGGCGAACGGCCACACUGGAACUGAGACACGGUCCAGACUCCUACGGGAGGCAGCAGUGGGGAAUUUUGCGCAAUGGGCGAAAGCCUGACGCAGCAACGCCGCGUGGAGGAUGAAGGCCUUCGGGUCGUAAACUCCUGUCGAUGGGGACGAAGUAUUCGCAAGGAUAUUGACUGUACCCGUUGAGGAAGCCACGGCUAACUCCGUGCCAGC
rnacentral:rRNA from 1 species